AUCCCUACAUUCAUGUGUCAUAUCCCAACACCCACACCCUUUGGCGCGUGACAAAACCAAAACAACACUCAACUUGUGUUAUCUAAUCUCACCGCACAAGUCUCAAUCUAUGAACAGUUUCAAGCAAAGUUACCUUCCUCUUCUCCUUGUUCUUUCCCCAACACCUUGAAAAGCUAACCCAACACACACACACACACACUCUUAACACUUUUACCACUUUUACCACUUUCUACUUCUAUAACCCUUUUCUUCUAUCUUUCUCCCCAACAAAACAAACCCACCCAAAAACCAAAAAAUAUCAUACUAAAACAGAAUAUUGCUAUUUGCACCGUCUAUUCAACAUGGCACACCGUUCUUCCCGCCGGCGAAACACGGCACCACCGGAGACAAAUCCACCUCCUGCUUUAGCUAAGCAACCAAAACCCACCACCACAAAAACCACUAUCUUCUCAUCAUCACCUUCACCUUCUCACUAUCCAAAACCAAACCAAGAUUUGAUUCAAGCUACUAAAUCUUCUUCUUUUUUAGUUAAACCUUUUCAAAGCCUUAACUUAGGUAGUAAAAAAACCAAACAACAUUCUCAAACCAAACAUGUUGACUCACGUUUGCAAGGUAAAUCCAUGACAACCUCAGCUAUAUUUGAUUCAUCAAAACCCAACAACAACACACACCAAACGAAAAUCACAGUACUAACACCAAAUCAUGAAAAAGAGAGUGUUUUUUUGCAUUCUAAGAAGACCCUUAAAGAGAAACCACCUCAAAAACCUAGUUCAGAAUUGGAAAGGUGGAAACUUCAGGGGUUGUUGAAGAAUGAGAAAAAGGUGGUUGAGGUUGAAAAGUCAAGAAAAGUAACUGUUGUGGAAAAAGAAGGUGGUGAUGUUAAGGAGAGAGUUUCUGUUUCUAUGGGUCAAAGUGGUGGUGGUGGUAGAAGAAAAUCGUUAUGUGGAUCAAUGAUUGAUUUAGGUGAUUUCUUUGCAAUUAAUGGGGCGAAAAUGGUUUCAGCUGAUAUGCCACCGUUUAUGCAGAUCCAUGCUGUUGAUUGUGCUAGAAAAGCUUUUGAUAGUAUGGAGAAGUUCACUUCCAAAACCCUAGCAUUAUCCCUCAAGAAGGUAUAAUUCAUAUCAUCAUUGCUUGUUUUGUUCAUUAUUCAAUUCAUUUUAUUUAAAUUAGUUUUGAAUGAAUUGAUUUUGGUUAAGAAUGACUUAAUGUACUAUAUAAACCUAGUUCAAUUGACAAUGUCGGUAUUGUUAGAUUUGACACUUUUAUCGGGUUAGAACCAAGGGUCGUGGGGCGGAGUUUUAGUGGUCCUAGGAUGACUUUGAGAUUUGAUGACUUUAACGAGUGAUUGGUUACGAAAGAGAUAGAGACAAAGUCAUGAAUGCCACCAAAAUCAAAUUUUGUCUACAUACCCAAAAUGACUUAAUGUAAGUGUACGUUUGACAAACGCACCCCCAAUCCAAAUUUAGCAAAAUGAUUUGAACAAUUAAUUAUAUGUUAGAAAUUGUAGUUUUGAAGUUAGAUUAAUGUUGGAGGCAAAAUCAAUACAAUCAUUUUUGUCUCCUCCUAAAGAAUAUCAUAUAUAAACGUGGCUUACUUUUGCAUUAAGAAUAAUUUAGGGUGUAAUUCAAAAUUUGAGUGAGUCUUUGAAUAUUUUAGUGAAUGAUUGGUCAAUGAAUUCGGUUGU